UUGAUUUUGUAUUUUCUCAUAAUCCCAACCCAGUUGCUUACAGUAUUACUAUUUCCAGGGCUUGCAUCAACAGAACACAGAGAAAUAAUUACUUCAAUGCAUUCCAUUAUACCUUCGCUAUGCCUUAGAGGCUCUAAAUUCUUUAAGCCAGAGGAACUCGCUUAAAAAAUAAGAACUCAGUGGCUAGUAACAAGCCCCCCACGAGUAAAUAUCCAUUAUUCCAUUUAAAUGGGACUUUUCCAAAGCACAAAGGAUUUAGCAUAGAUGUAGUACUGAACACAUAAAAAUGAACCAUUAAAGGAAGAAGAAAAAUCAUUGAUUUCCCUGGUAUGCUACUAUAGGAUCCUCCGAAGGUUAAGAACUCACCAGUGCGUUAAGAUUUCUGAACAAAUAUCAUCCAAAUUUUAAGAAGAAAGACCAACUAUGACGAAAUCAUCAUGAUAAAGCAUAUUUAACUAGAGAACGAAAGAAAGCAGGUAAAAGUAAAGUACACGUGUAUGUAACUCAUAAAUAAAGAUUUAAGUUCAUUUCAGAGACAGUUACAGAUGCAAAAAAAGAAAGUAUGAAUAAGUUACUUAGUUCUCAAACCCUAAAAAUGGGC
rnacentral:misc_RNA from 1 species